rnacentral:misc_RNA from 1 species
GCUGCUCGUCAUAGAUCGACACGGCUUCGCGCCGCAGGACAUCGACUUCCUCGGCAUUGAAGAGUUCAGGCAGGAACAGCCAGCCUUCAGUGCGGAAUUGCUCGAGCUGCUCGGGGGUCAAUUUCAUGAUGGUCCUCCUANGCUUCCCGGUUGCUUGUUUUCAGGGGCGCUUUUGCGCCCUCAGUCGUGGUCGGCGGCCCAGUUUCUUAUGGUACACCGAUAUUGCAUUCUGAAUUCAGUAUUCUAAACUCAGGAUGCGGCUUGCACCCCCCCCUGUCAAGCAGCAACCAUGCUGCCGCGCAGCGAUGAUUCCGUUGGAGGAGAAGUGCUGGAGUCUCUGGCAUCUGGUCGAUCAGGUCUAUGAGGUGAUCCUCGAUGCCCUGUGCGACGGCACGUUCAAGCCGGGCGAGCGCCUCACCCAGGAGAACAUCGCCGCGCGCCUGAAUGUCUCACGGCAGGC